rnacentral:lncRNA from 10 species
UCUUGAAGGAUGUGUGUGUAUGUUUGAAGGAGGUGUGUGUGUGUGUUAGGUGUGUGUGUGUUUGAAGGACGGGUGUGUGUUUGAAGGAGGUGUGUGUUUGAAGGAGGUGUGUGUUAGGUGUGUGUGUGUUUGGAGGUGUGUGUGUUUGAAGGAGGUGUGUGAGGUGUGUGUGUUUGGAGGUGUGUGUGUGUUUGAAGGAGGUGUGUUAGGUGUGUGUGUGUUUGGAGGUGCGUGUGUGUGCUUGAAGGAGGUGUGUGUUAGGUGUGUGUGUGUGUUUGGAGGUGUGUGUGUGUGUUUGAAGGAGGUGUGUGUGUUUGGAGGGUGUGUGUGUGUUUGAAGGACAUGUGUUUCGAGGGUGUGUGUUUGAAGGAAGUGUGUGUUAGGUGUGUGUGGAGGUGUGUGUGUGUGUUUGAAGGAGGGGUGUGUGUGUGUGUUUGGAGGUGUGUGUGUGUUUGAAGGAGGUGUGUGUUAGGUGUGUGUGUGUGUUUGGGGGUGUGUGUGUGUUUGGAGGCGUGUGUGUGUUUGGAGGUGUGUGUGUGUUUGGAGGUGUGUGUGUUUGAAGGAGGUGUGUGUUUGGAGGUGUGUGUGUUUGAAGGAGGUGUGUGUUAGGUGUGUUUGUGUUUGGAGGUGUGUGUGUGUUUGAAGGAGGUGUGUGUGUUUGGAGGUGUGUGUGUGUUUGGAGGUGUGUGUGUGGAGGUGUGUUUGGAGGUGUGUGUGUGGAGGUGUGUGUGUGUGGAGGUGUGUGUGUGUGUUUGGAGGUGUGUGUGUGGUGUGUGUUUGGAGGUGUGUGUGUGGAGGUGUGUGUGUGGAGGUGUGUGUGUGUGGAGGUGUGUGUGUGUGGAGGUGUGUGUGUUAGGAGGAGGUGUGUGUUGGGUGUGUGUGUGUUUGCAGGUGUGUGUGUUUGGAGGUGUGUGUGUGUUUGGAGGUUGUGUGUGGAGGUGUGUGUGUGUGUGGAGGUGUGUGUGUGUGCUUGAAGGAGGUGUCUGUGAUGUGAUCCCAAGAAAAGGAACCACGAGCACAGAUCCUGCCUUCAGGAAGCUCCCAGACUGAAGGAGGAGGCAUGGCCCCUGCCCUAAAAGAGUUCCCCUCUCCUGAUGCAAAGAAACACAGCUCCUGUCCACAAGGAACCCUGAAUCUGAUGAAGUAGAGCAUCACAAUCAGACAAACAUACAGACAGAUGGGGACACACACACCCUACAAAGACAUAGUGAACAUAAUACUACCUGGUAUUUUCACAGGAAAUAAAAUCGCACCCCCUCUGUGCUAAACACCCCCCAAGGAGGAUCUUGCUUCAUGCAACAACUCACCGGGCAGAGAUGAUUAUUGACACUUGACAAACAAGUGUCAACCUUGGUCUUCCCAUUCC